rnacentral:lncRNA from 1 species
GGCGUUCUCACUGCUUGUGCUCAUCGCGGGCUUGUGACAAAGGGCCUACACAUUUCUGAAUGUUGCCACAAAUUCAUCAGUAAAUGGCCAUGGCAGAAGAAGCUGGUCGAGAUUAGCAAGGUUGCAUAUCAUUCACAUCAGCCUGCAAGAAAGUACAAAUCAACCCAAGUUAGCUUGCAACCAUGUUCAUUGCUUGGUACCACACUAAAAUAGCAAGCCAGUAGGUUACAUAUCUAGUAAGGCAUCAAAACAGCUCAUGUCACACAUGUAAUGUCAAGUCAUGAAAUCAACCAAAAGCAUUGGCCUUAGACCUGCAAGCAAUCCAGUCAAGACCAUAACAUCUUUGCAAGGCCAUAUAGCAGGAAGUUGGGAGUAAUUUGCAGAUGUCCUUGGACCAAGCAUCUAACCAAACCCUGGAAAUGCAUGCCCUGCUACUGUAGUGAUCCAUCAUGUCAUAAAAAUCCUGCAUCAACAUGAGCCUACCACCAAACAGCAGCAACAGCCUGCAAAACCAAUUGAUACAUUGCCAUAAACCUCAAACAGAAACAAGGAAAUGAUGCACCAUCAUAUUCCAUCAUCCAAAGGCAUGAGCUAAUGGAUAAAUCUUACCUUUAUCAAGACUUUUGCUUCUGGAAUUCUUGUUCCCAAAGGAUAUAUAUGGCCAAUAGAUGCUGCUGGUUAUUUGCAACCACAUACCACUUUGGUUUCAGAUGCACAUAAAGCGGGGCUUGAAGUUGAUGCAUCAGAUUUUGCAAAUGAUUUUGUAUCAAGCUUUAAUUACAGCUAUGAUCCUCUUGCUGAGUACCUCCAAUUCAUUGAUAACGGUGAUUUCUCUGUUGAUGGUGUGCUGACUGAUUUUCCCAUAACUCCAUCAGAAGCAAUUGAUUGCUUUGCCCGACUAGGCACAAAUGCUACGAGAAGAGAUAAAACCUUGAUUAUCUCAAAAUUUGGAGCAAGUGGAGAUUAUCCAGCUUGUACCAACUUAGCGUAUAACAAUGCCAUAUCAGAUGGUGCGGACGUUCUUGACUAUCCUGUUCAAAUUUCAAAGGACAGAAUACCAUUCUGCUUAAGCUCCAUUGAUCUUCUAGAUAGUACCACAGUUGCUCAAACAAGCUUCAUUGAUUUGGUCACGAGUAUCCCUAAGAUCAAAUCUGGCCGUGGCAUAUUUACGUUCAAAUUGACAUGGGCUGAUAUAAAAGAC